CAAUUCCAUAUAGCUACAAAUAUAUGAAUGUAUCUAUGUUUAUGUGUAGAAAAACGCAUUGUCGCGACAGUUUGUGUGCGUGCGUCCAAACAUUACGCUGGUACUGAGUUUUAAUACUAAUUCCCAACAACAGAUUUUUUUUACAAGAAAUUUUUCACAGAAAAAUUUUCACAUUUGUCAAAAUAGACAAGCGAUACGAAAAUUAAAUAAAGCGUCGUGUGUGUGGUUCAUUUUGGAUACACUACUGCUGCCGUAUAGCUGGAACAUCGCUGCAACUUCUACGCCAGCCACAUUUAUUACUUGGCACCAGCUGGUGCUGUAUAGCAUUUUGUGUAUAAUUAAAAGAGCUGGCUAAGCAGAAAUGUGUGUAAAACAUAAUUUCUCAUAACAGAAGCUUAACGCAAGCAUUGAAAAGUGGUAUUUGUGUCAGAAGUGCAGCAAAAAGUUAAGAAAUCGCAGCAAGAAUGCACGCCGAGCACUUGAAAUGGUGAAGAUGAAAUGUGCUAUAAGAAAAAGUCUGUAAAUAUGUUGUGAAUGUGUAAAAGUUUUGAACAAAAUAUUCAACAACUAGAAUACUCAUCUUUUUGAUGAAAAAUAUGCACACCAACUGGGGGUGAUUAAUAUUUAUCUCAUAAAUAUCUGUUUAAAAUUUUAUCAAAAAAAAAAAAAAAACAACACGAGCAUUCCAUUUCACUGCAAGCUGUCAAAAAGACGAAAACAAUAGUCAGCCAGCCGAAGGAGCGAAACAACGUACAUCAAACGAAAAAGAGAAUUUUCAUGUUUAGUGCGAGAAAUGGAAUUUGAAAAAAAAGGUGAAAUAAAAAUAUAUAAAAUUGAAAUCAAAUGCAAAUUGCGAAAACCGGGGGGAAAAAAUAACGAAGCCAUAACAAAAUUGCGCCAAUCAGUAGUGAAAAGUACGAGAUGCGUCAGAAAAAUAUCUAAAUAAAAGCAAUUUUCCAUGGAAAAUACGUAAAUGCGAAGUGGAAACCUCGUUAAAAGCAUAUACAAAUCACAUUCAAUCGAAUGAAGCAGUCAAAGCAAAACGUGAAAAAAAUAAUUGGCAGCGGAUAGAAAAAAAGUGUCAAAGUUGAAGUCAAAACAAAACAAAACGACGUGCAAAAAGAAAGCAAAAAAAAAAAAAUAAAAAUAAAGGAAAAAGAGUCAGUGUUCAACGGGAAGUGCAAAAGCGAAUGAUACGCGUAGUGAAGAAGUAGUAGAAACAGAUUGUAGUAGUUGUAUGUUUGUACGGGUGUAUGUAGUUGUGGCUUGUGGUCGAAACGGUUAGUCGGGUUGAUUCGCUGCGGAAAAUCCUUUGUUUUCACUUUAGUUUUUUCUUCACCCAAUACUACAACAACACAACAAAAAAUAUAUAUAUUGAAGCUAUAAGCUCCUGUCAAGUUUAAAAACCACAAUACCGUUGCAUGCGCGUGCAUGUGUGUGUGCGUGUGUGUGCGUGUGUGUGCGCGCGCGUGAAAUUCUACGGAAACUACGCUUUGAGUCGUCAACACGCAUAAGGACCAAAUUGCAUUUUUGCAUAUUUUGUUUUGUAUGGAAAUACCCGUCGAAAACGCCACGAAAAUGACAACAACAACAACAACAACAACAACACUAAGAACCACCAGUAAGCUACAAACGUCGUAAAAACGUGCAAACACACACUGCCAAUCAAAGAUAUAGCGCGAAAAAAUACCCACUGACACCGCGACCAAGCGUCAGCUAAAUACGGCCUUUAUAACGGUAAAUGCCAUAGUAGCCCAUUUUCCAGCCGAUUUUCCCUUCAUACGCGAAGCAGACACACGAUACCCAUUAGAGGAGCAGCAAGCAAUACCAUACCCACUUGUGUCCUUUGCGUUGUGUUUGUGUGAUUGCGGCAUCCACCGCCGGGUUUUUUGCGAAAAUUCGGUAAUUUCCCAUACGCGCGUAGUCAGUCUCGUGUAGCCUUGAAACCGCAACGCACAAUUCGACCGUACGGUAUUUCGCGCAGUUAGUAGUGUAAACAACGGUUGCAUUCAAUUGAAUUGUGCAGUCGGUUAAAGGUCUCGCUUAGCAGUUCUACGGUCUAUCACGUUGGUGUACGUACAGCUAAACAAGCAUUUUAAUCUCUGCAUACGUGUAGCAGCAGGUGUCUUUUUUGUUGUUGUUGUAUCGGUUCUCAGUGAGAACGUCAACUAAUCUAUUGAAAUUUAAAUAAAGUAGUAAAGCGUUGGCAGCGACGAGGCGUCGUAAAAUCGUGUUGAUGAACUGCAAUUUAAUAAUUUCGCUUAAAAACUUUUUUGUUGUUAUUGCUGUUGCCGUUGAACAAUAAUGUCAUCAAAAUGUGGAUUAAACCUGAUUUUCGUGUCGAUCAUUUUCAUUAUCAUCGUAAAUGGCUACGCAAAAGACAUUUCCGGAAUUGAAAGAGCACAUCGUCGACUCAACGAAUACAUAUCGCACUAUGAAGAACUCAACUAUGAUCAUAAACAUAUACACACUAGUCACAAUAGAGCGAAACGAUCCGUGACCAAAGAUCAUCAUGUAGAUUUAAAAUUUUCAGCACACGGAAGACACUUCCAUCUUAGGCUAAAACGUGAUUUAAAUACAUUUAGUGAUAAGCUAGAGUUUUAUGAUAGCAACAAUCUCCCCCUAGAUGUGGCCACCGAUCACAUCUACGAGGGCGAAGUGAUAGGGGAUCGUAAUAGUUAUGUAUUUGGUUCCAUACUGGAUGGGGUAUUCGAGGGUAAAAUAAUAACGGAACGUGAUGCCUAUUAUGUUGAACAUGCCAAGCGAUAUUUUCCAACAACAACAACAAACGGCACGCAAACGCUGCCAAUGGCACAACGACGCGUUGCCCAACAAUACACGGCAACAACUACGUCUACAACAGCAACAAUAACGACGACGACGACGACGACGACGACGACGACGAGUUCAACAGCAGCGUCGCCAUUAAAACCAACCACAACAACAACGUCCAGCACGUUGACGCCAGCGACAACAGAGACGACAUCAAAAACAUCUCCAACGUCCGGCGGAAAUCAUAAAAAUGGACAAACCGAUGACAAUCGAGGCAGUGGCUUCCAUUCAAUCAUCUACAAGGAGUCGCAUGUCGACGAUGCUUACAAGGACAUGCGUGAAGGACAUGUUGCUGGUUGCGGCAUCACGGAGGAGGUCUCCCAAUGGAUGGAGAGCAUACAAAAUUCCGCUGUUGAAGAGUUGCCCGAGCCGAUGUCGAAGGAUGAUGUUACGCAACAACAAAAACUGCAGCACAAAUUAAUCAAACCCAACAGCGCGCGCAUGACACAAUCGCAAGAUGUGGCAACAGAACAAGAAAGAGAUAAAGCCGCAUUACCUACAAAUAAGAAACACAAAAAGACCACUGCCGCGUCAGCAACAGCAACAGCCUCAGCAGUAGCAGUAGCAGCAACAGGAGAUACAAACAUGCCACAACGUCCACCGAAAAAAUACACCAGUCAAGCGAGCACAUCAACGUCAACAACGCCACCAACGAAGGGUGGCAAAUCGAAGGCUGCUGCAGAUACCACCGCCAGCGCCGCGGCACUAGGCGAUGAUGACUUCAAAUAUCCUUAUCAAAAAUACUCUAAAGAUGCUAAUUUUCGCUUCGAUGGCUAUGCUGCUUGGCGGCCAUCGUCCACUGGUGAUGAUGAUGUUUAUGGCAUGCCAAGUGGCAGUAGCGAUGGCGGCAGUGGUUUCUCUGGCGCAUUUUAUGAUCCGGAAACGGGCCGCAAGUAUACGCCGCAAAAUAUGGAUCGCGAUGAAUGGCAUGCCAAGGUGCAUGAGCGGGUACGACGCGCCACUGCUGCUAAUCCGAAUGAGAAUAAGAAUACCUGUUCCCUAUACAUACAAACGGAUCCGCUGAUAUGGCGGCACAUACGCGAAGGAAUUGCAGAUCACGAUCGUGGCCGCAAAUAUGAGAUUGACGUGAAGACACGCGAAGAGAUUACAUCAUUAAUCGCACAUCAUGUAACUGCCGUUAAUUAUAUUUAUCGUAAUACGAAAUUCGAUGGACGUAGCGAGCACCGCAAUAUACGAUUUGAGGUGCAACGUAUUAAAAUCGACGACGACUCCGCUUGUCGCAACUCAUACAAUGGUCCGCACAAUGCCUUCUGCAAUGAGCAUAUGGAUGUGUCGAACUUUUUGAAUUUGCACUCGCUGGAGGAUCAUUCGGACUUUUGUUUAGCCUAUGUGUUCACUUAUAGAGACUUCACCGGCGGCACGCUGGGUUUGGCUUGGGUAGCUAGCGCCUCUGGUGCUUCUGGUGGCAUUUGUGAGAAAUUCAAGACUUACACCGAAACUGUCGGUGGGCAAUAUCAAAGCACAAAACGCUCGUUGAAUACGGGCAUCAUAACAUUCGUUAACUAUAAUAGUCGUGUGCCGCCGAAGGUGUCACAGCUGACGCUGGCGCACGAGAUCGGGCAUAAUUUUGGCUCACCGCACGAUUACCCACUGGAGUGCCGUCCUGGUGGCUUGAACGGCAAUUACAUCAUGUUUGCUAGUGCCACGUCGGGUGAUCGGCCGAACAAUUCGAAGUUCUCACCUUGUUCCAUACGUAACAUCUCUAACGUACUCGAUGUUUUGGUCGGCAACACAAAGCGCGACUGCUUCAAGGUGUCGGAGGGCGCUUUCUGUGGCAAUAAAAUUGUGGAGUCGGGCGAAGAAUGUGAUUGUGGCUUUAACGAGGAGGAAUGCAAGGACAUUUGUUGUUAUCCACGCAUCAUUAGUGAAUAUGAUAUAUCGAUGAAUAGCUCUGCCAAGGGUUGUACACGUCGCGCUAAGACGGAGUGCUCGCCAUCACAAGGUCCUUGCUGUCUCUCGAACUCAUGCCAAUUUGUACCAGCGAACAAUCAUCAGAAAUGCAAGGAGGAAACGGAAUGUUCUUGGUCGAGCACAUGCAACGGCACCACAGCCGAGUGUCCGGAGCCGAAGCCGCGUGAUGAUAAAACAAAAUGCAACAAUGGCACAGCGCUGUGUAUACGUGGCGAGUGUUCGGGCAGCAUUUGCUUGCUGUGGAACAUGACGGAAUGUUUUCUCACCUCACAAGCGGUGCCGCAUGUCGAUAAACGUCGACUGUGCGAACUUGCUUGUCAGAAUGGCAACGAUAGUGGCACUUGUCGCAGCACUAGUGAAUUUGCACACCAAUUCGGCCUGCCCGAGGGUGGUAUUAACCUACGACCCGGUUCGCCUUGCGACAACUUCCAAGGCUAUUGUGAUGUUUUCCUCAAAUGUCGUGCUGUGGAUGCAGAUGGUCCGUUGGUGCGACUGAAGAAUUUAUUGCUCAAUCGUGAAACGCUACUGACUGUGGCGCAAUGGGUUACGGAGUACUGGUACUAUGUAGUUAUUAUGGGCGUGGGCUUUAUCAUUGUGAUGGGCAUUUUCAUUAAGUGCUGCGCUGUGCACACGCCUAGCUCAAAUCCGAAGAAACGACGCGCGCGACGCAUUAGCGAGACGCUGCGUGCGCCUAUGAACACGCUGCGGCGCAUGCAACGUCAUCAUCAAGGACGUGGCGCCGGGCCACGUAGCAUACCACCGCCUGCGCACGAACAGCGUGGCGCCGUUGCUGCUGGUGGUCAACAUCAUCGCAGCGCGCAUCCUCAUCACUGGGAUCGUCAUCAGGGUGGUCACUCGGUGGUGCCGCUUCCAACAGGUGGUCCACAUAAUAGUCAUCAUCACGCUGCUGGUGGACGCACAUCGGCUAGUGGCGCUUCGGCGGCUGCUGUUAGCAGUCGUGCCGCAGCUAAUGGACGCAGUUCGCGGCCAUCAACACGUCCUACAAGCGGCACACGCAGCACAACACAUGGCGGGUAUGCAGAUGCGCCACCAGCUGGUCUUAUAGUUGGUGGCAUACCCACCGGUGUUGGUGGAACUAGUAAUAGUGUUGGUGGUGGUGGUGGUGUUAUGCCAAACAGCGCGCUGUUAGUUAGCGGUGGUGGUGGCAAUGGUGGCGCUGUUGUAGGUCCCAGCGCGGGCGUGAUAGCGCGCCAACAAAUGCCUCUGCCACUGCCGCCCACCGGCGCGGUACAAGCACAACAAUUACAACAACAACAGCAACAACAAGUGCAGGCAACACUAACGCAAGCAUACUAUGCGCCGCCGAAAGCACCAGCCGCCAAACGAAAUAAAUCCCGCAAUCCAGCCGCUCACACCUCGGCGGCCGCUGCGGUUAGGCGCUCUACAAAAGAGUCGCCACAGCGCGCUAAACAGGCCGUCGCGAAAAAACACCGCAAGGUCGUUUACUGAACCUACCGAUCUCCACAACACGACAAAAGCUAUAUAAAAAAUAGAUAUCUGUAGAUGUCUUUCCACGUUUUCAUUCUCACUAAAUUGCCGUCGCUCCGCAACCAGCAAAUUAUAAUCGGCCGCCAUCGCUGCAUAAUCCAGAGUUGUAUGCGGACGCUUAUGCUGCGCUGGGCAGAGGGGCAUAUGAGGCGACUACAC
rnacentral:misc_RNA from 1 species